AUUUUAUUCUCAAUUUUAAAACACAACUCACGCCCCUCUUUUGCUCAAAGAAAAAGAAACUCACGCCUCUCUUCCUCACCCCAUCGAAGCCGCCCCUGAAACUCCAGGGAAAGUGCCGCCGGCGAGCCACGGCCAUGGCCACAGAUUCUCUCUCGACCCCCAUCUCCAUCUCUCAGUCCCUAAUCUCUCUCCUCUCUCCCAAACAAAGCCUAGAUCUCCAAAUCCUCACUGCCUCUUCGCGAUUUCCGGCGACCACGACAGCCAUGGCUGUCGCCUCCGGCGAUUCGCCCCAAGCUCAGCCCCGAUCUGCCACCUCGCCGCUCCCCUUUCCCCUUCACCGCCGUCCGCCCCGUCACCAAGUCUUUGCCAGAGAUCUGCUCGGUAACGAAAUCUGCUCCGAUCACUGCUGCAAUACGUCUCGGUGAUAACAUCGCCACUCCCGUUUCCCCUCCACCGCCAUCCGCCACCGUCGUCUCCGUCUGCCCUGUCACCAAGUCGCCGCCAGCGAUCUGCGCCUCUCCAUGGCUGAACUCAUUAAGGAAUGGUGAAGGGGUUAGGCUAAAUCUUACCUUUCGAGCAGCUGAAACCAUGGCCAACAUCAUUCCCAUUAGUUAAUGGCAUUCAUGGUGAUUCUUCUAAGAUAAAGUUCAGUAUCGGUAUCCGCUCCUUUUCGUCUGCUGGUACACCUCUUUUCACUUAACUUGAUCUUACUAUUCAAAAUUUUAUCUGACACUCUGUACAAUUAAAAGUAGAAACCAAUGGAAUUAUGUGGUUCAUCGACUAAUAUUUUGGACUGUAAGUGUCAUUUAAUUCUAUGCGCACGUGGUUUUCUCUUUAACUGGUAUCUUGAGCUAUGCGGUUCAUUUUCUCUAAAGUAAGCCUACUUUCUCUUUUAAGGUCUCAAUGCAUUAUUUGUCUUCAUAAAACAGUGGUGCUGCGUUACGUUAUUAUUUUUUAUCUUUUUACUACUUAAUUGCAGCCUUAGUUGGCGAGAAAUUGUUUCCUCUCGCCUUUUAUUACCCGCAGAAGCUUCUCCAGCUGCAACUCAACCUUCUCUGGGGCCUCGAUCGCGUCCGCAAAGCUUGCCAUCUCUUCGGAUGUCGACGCCGAGAAGCAGCAGCGCCCCUAACUCUGAAGCCUCGACGGAUAUUCGACGGGUAGAGAGUGGCGGGUAUCCAACGGGUAACGGAUGGCGGAUACCCGACGAGUGACGGGUAUUCGCGGGUUGCGGGUAUGGGUGGUAAAUAGUAGUGGUGACAAAUAAUUUUUUCGAAUAUAUGUUUCGCUAAGUCAUGUUGAGGAUGAAAGUCCUCAUUAAUUUACUUUUUCAUUUUAUUUUGAUGUGUAACGUAGACCUAUAUCAUAUUAACAAAUGUUUUAGUGAAUAAUUUUCAUAAUUUAUAAAUAUAUUAAAAAAUAAUUUUUAUA